CCCACCAAAAACAUAAAUGCAAAAAAGGAGAGCCAAGUUCAAUACAAAAAUUAUGCUUGGCUGUGGGCUUCGCCGCAAAAAGAAUGGAGAUGUAAAUGAGUGCCAAGUUCUAUGCAAAAUCCAAAUAUGUAUUUAUAGGAACAAAAUAACGUUAUGAUACUUACAACAAUUGCUGUUAUUUAAAAAAAUGUGAGAUCAUAAAGUAGGUUAGAUUUGACUCUCUCUCUGACUCUUUGAGGCUCUCCUUUUUUACAUUUAUGUUUUUGGUGGGAUAUCAUUACUUUUUGUAAAGAAAACUAGGCAGGUAUUGAGAUUUAAUGUUUUUUCUUGCGUCAAAUAUAAUAAUACAUAUAUUGGGAUAGUUUCAAAUAUCUGCUUGUAACGGUUCCAACGCUACAAUUA